UAUAUACAGGAGGUACCAGUACAGAGUCAAUGUGGAGGCUAUAUACAGGGGUACCAGUACAGAGUCAAUGUGGAGGCUAUAUACAGGGGGUACCAGUACAGAGUCAAUGUGGAGGCUAUAUACAGGAGGUACCAGUACAGAGUCAAUGUGGAGGCUAUAUACAGGGGGUACCAGUACAGAGUCAAUGUGGAGGCUAUAUACAGGGGGUACCAGUACAGAGUCAAUGUGGAGGCUAUAUACAGGAGGUACCAGUACAGAGUCAAUGUGGAGGCUAUAUACAGGAGGUACCAGUACAGAGUCAAUGUGGAGGCUAUAUACAGGGGGUACCAGUACAGAGUCAAUGUGGAGGCUAUAUACAGGGGGUACCAGUACAGAGUCAAUGUGGAGGCUAUAUACAGGAGGUACCAGUACAGAGUCAAUGUGGAGGCUAUAUACAGGAGGUACCAGUACAGAGUCAAUGUGGAGGCUAUAUACAGGAGGUACCAGUACAGAGUCAAUGUGGAGGCUAUAUACAGGAGGUACCAGUACAGAGUCAAUGUGGAGGCUAUAUACAGGGGGUACCAGUACAGAGUCAAUGUGGAGGCUAUAUACAGGAGGUACCAGUACAGAGUCAAUGUGGAGGCUAUAUACAGGAGGUACCAGUACAGAGUCAAUGUGGAGGCUAUAUACAGGAGGUACCAGUACAGAGUCAAUGUGGAGGCUAUAUACAGGGGUACCAGUACAGAGUCAAUGUGGAGGCUAUAUACAGGAGGUACCAGUACAGAGUCAAUGUGGAGGCUAUAUACAGGAGGUACCAGUACAGAGUCAAUGUUAGUCAAGGUAAUUGAAGUAAUAUGUACAUUUAGGUUAAAGUGAUGCAUAGACAAUAAACAGAGAAUAGAAGCAGCGUAAAGGGGACGACAACCUUGAAACACAGAUGAUUUGUGACACAUUCACACAGUGUUUAUGAAGGCCUUAAGAACCCU